GAGCCUCAUGGACUGAGAAUGUUUUCACAAUUUUUCACUGAGGUCUUGGUGGCACUAUUCUCCCAGGUAGGUUACUGAGAUUCUCUCCCUCUGUCUCAGUUAAUGAGAUUAAGCAUU
ensembl:misc_RNA